CAGAACGAACGCUGGUGGCGUGUCUUAUACAUGCAAGUCGAGCGGUCCGCAAGGAUAGCGGCGAACGGGUGAGUAACGCGUAAGCAAUCUGCCCCGCAUAUUCGGGGUAGCCGUGCCAACGCGCGGAUAAUACCGAAUAACGUGGCCCCGGACAUCCGGGGUUGACGAAAGAUUCAUCGAUGCGGGAUGAGCUUGCGUCCGAUUAGCUAGUUGGCGGGGCAACGGCCCGACCAAGGCGACGAUCGGUAGCCGGCCUGAGAGGGUGAUCGGCCACAUUGGGACUGAGAUACGGCCCAGACUCCUACGGGAGGCAGCAGUAGGGAAUAUUGCACAAUGGGGGAAACCCUGAUGCAGCAACGCCACGUGUGGGAAGAAGCAUUUCGGUGUGUAAACCACUGUCGUGAGGGAAUAAUACGCGGUUUCGGCCGCGGGGGAAUGUACCUCGAGAGGAAGCACCGGCAAACUUCGUGCCAGCAGCAGC
rnacentral:rRNA from 1 species